CGGCAACAGCUCAAAUUUGAAAUCUGGCCUCGGCCCGAGUUGUAAUUUGUAGAGGAUGUUUCGGGCGUGGUCCGGUCUAAGUUCCUUGGAACAGGACGUCAUAGAGGGUGAGAAUCCCGUAUGUGACCGGGUGCCUAGGCCCAUGUGAAACUCCUUCGACGAGUCGAGUUGUUUGGGAAUGCAGCUCAAAAUGGGUGGUAAAUUUCAUCUAAAGCUAAAUAUUGGCCAGAGACCGAUAGCGCACAAGUAGAGUGAUCGAAAGAUGAAAAGCACUUUGGAAAGAGAGUUAAACAGUACGUGAAAUUGUUGAAAGGGAAGCGCUUGCAACCAGACUUGCGCGUGGUUGAUCAUCCGGUGUUCUCACCGGUGCACUCUGCCACGCUCAGGCCAGCAUCGGUUUUGGUGGUUGGAUAAAGGCCUUGGGAAUGUGGCUCCUCUCGGGGAGCGUUAUAGCCCUCGGUGCAAUGCAGCCUACCGGGACCGAGGACCGCGCUUCGGCUAGGAUGCUGGCGUAAUGGUUGCAAGCGACCCGUCUUGAAACACGGACCAAGGAGUCUAACAUCUAUGCGAGUGUUUGGGUGUCAAACCCAUACGCGUAAUGAAAGUGAACGGAGGUGAGAACCCUUAAGGGUGCAUCAUCGACCGAUCCUGAUGUCUUCGGAUGGAUUUGAGUAAGAGCAUAGCUGUUGGGACCCGAAAGAUGGUGAACUAUACUUGAAUAGGGUGAAGCCAGAGGAAACUCUGGUGGAGGCUCGCAGCGGUUCUGACGUGCAAAUC
rnacentral:rRNA from 1 species